CGAACGCUGGCGGCGUGCUUAACACAUGCAAGUCGAACGGAAAGGCCCUGCUUUUGUGGGGUGCUCGAGUGGCGAACGGGUGAGUAACACGUGAGUAACCUGCCCUUGACUUUGGGAUAACUUCAGGAAACUGGGGCUAAUACCGGAUAGGAGCUCCUGCUGCAUGGUGGGGGGUGGAAAGUUUCGGCGGUUGGGGAUGGACUCGCGGCUUAUCAGCUUGUUGGUGGGGUAGUGGCUUACCAAGGCUUUGACGGGUAGCCGGCCUGAGAGGGUGACCGGCCACAUUGGGACUGAGAUACGGCCCAGACUCCUACGGGAGGCAGCAGUGGGGAAUAUUGCACAAUGGGCGGAAGCCUGAUGCAGCAACGCCGCGUGCGGGAUGACGGCCUUCGGGUUGUAAACCGCUUUCGCCUGUGACGAAGCGUGAGUGACGGUAAUGGGUAAAGAAGCACCGGCUAACUACGUG
rnacentral:rRNA from 1 species